AAUCAUUACGUCAAAUAAUAGUUGACUAUUAUGUCUGCCACCUUUCUGCAUGGCAUUAAUGAGGAUGAGACUCAAAUGACCGGCGGUGGCAAAUAGUGGUAGCAGGUGAGGAAGUAGGCUACAUACUUUCGGCUGAAAUGACCGGGAGUGGGGGAAAGGUGUCAGGAGGUGAUGGGUGGCACGGUAAACCAGGAUUGGAGUACGUAUGGGGCUAGGAUCACACAAAAGAGGUAAGUAACAAAAUAUUACACACACAAUCAUAUGAUUAUUUUCUCUCAAGCACUAGACAUUAUUUUUCCUCCAUUGUUAACCUUGUGAUCGCCGAUAUUGACUCUCACGUCGGAGCUAUCCCCCGACGGUCAAGUCGUCAAGCUUUUGGUGUUGACUUGUUGAACUGUGCAGGAUAUCGGACGCGUCUUGGUGAUUGGGACAUGAAGAAAGAUCUUGGUGUUAACAGAGUGCAAAUAGCCUCCCAUGGACGGUGGUCCAGCCCAAAACACUUGGGUCUUGGUUCACCAAAGCUUCCACUAUUUCAAGCUCCCCAUUUUGAACAGCACUGAACAGAACAUGCUCACGGCAGGCCUCUCCGCAGCUCAGCCCCUGACCCAUCCCUCUUCUAUAUGAUCUCUUCUAAGCAUAAAUUAAUUAAGAGGUCAGUUGGCAUCCAACUGUUCCUCACCCGCCACCUUCCACGGCGUAGUGGCGGUGGUGGUGGAGGAAGUUUGGUGGCGAUGGGUAUUACUCUACUAAGGAAGGAGGAGGGAUGGGGCAGCCGGUAAGGGGAUUUGGUUUUAAAAUAUAAACUAAAGUAGAAGUCUAGCGUCGUACGGAGCAAAUGAAGUUGGUUGCCU
rnacentral:lncRNA from 1 species